AGAGUUUGAUCCUGGCUCAGGAUGAACGCUAGCUACAGGCUUAACACAUGCAAGUCGAGGGGAAACGGACAUCGAAAGCUUGCUUUUGAUGGGCGUCGACCGGCGCACAGGUGAGUAACGCGUAUCCAACCUGCCCACCACUUGGGGAUAACCUUGCGAAAGUAAGACUAAUACCCAAUGACGUCUCUAGAAGACAUCUGAAAGAGAUUAAAGAUUUAUCGGUGAUGGAUGGGGAUGCGUCUGAUUAGCUUGUUGGCGGGGUAACGGCCACCAAGGCUACGAUCAGUAGGGGUUCUGAGAGGAAGGUCCCCCANAUUGGAACUGAGACACGGUCCAAACUCCGUACGGGAGGCA
rnacentral:rRNA from 1 species